GACGAACGCUGGCGGCGUGCUUAACACAUGCAAGUCGAACGGAAAGGCCCUGCUUUUGUGGGGUGCUCGAGUGGCGAACGGGUGAGUAACACGUGAGUAACCUGCCCUUGACUUUGGGAUAACUUCAGGAAACUGGGGCUAAUACCGGAUAGGAGCUCCUGCUGCAUGGUGGGGGCUGGAAAGUUUCGGCGGUUGGGGAUGGACUCGCGGCUUAUCAGCUUGUUGGUGGGGUAGUGGCUUACCAAGGCUUUGACGGGUAGCCGGCCUGAGAGGGUGACCGGCCACAUUGGGACUGAGAUACGGCCCAGACUCCUACGGGAGGCAGCAGUGGGGAAUAUUGCACAAUGGGCGGAAGCCUGAUGCAGCAACGCCGCGUGCGGGAUGACGGCCUUCGGGUUGUAAACCGCUUUCGCCUGUGACGAAGCGUGAGUGACGGUAAUGGGUAAAGAAGCACCAGCUAACUACGUG
rnacentral:rRNA from 1 species